rfam:Candidatus Tremblaya phenacola PAVE, complete genome.
CCUGACGAGCAUUGGAUGUUGGAACCACCCCUUCCCAUUCCGAACAGGCCAGUGAAACAGCUCUCCGCUUAUGAUAGUGCUGGCCUGUCCAGUGCAAAAGAAAGUAUUGUCAGGG